ensembl:ncRNA lncRNA:CR44392 long non-coding RNA:CR44392
AAGAAACGAUGGGAGUGUUUUCGUCCGAGGCGAAAUUAUUUUUAUUUUUUUCGCGCUUCAUAGCCAGCGAUUAAUGAGCUAAUCUAGCUUAAAACGCGACCGGGUAGUUGCAACUCUUGCUGUGAUAAAAGGCAGUGAGCUGCCUCGAUGAGAAGGCGAGAAAAAACGAAUCGAAAAUUGAGACACCCGCGACCUCCGAAACAAAGUGGGAAAAAUCGAACCUGUGUGCGUGUGUGUGUGUCUGCGUUCAUUAAAAGUGUGUGUGUAGAAUAGUAAAUUUAAUUUAAAAUUAAAGAGCCCAAUGUGUGCAAUCCAUAAUCGAAUCAUAUACACAACCUGCGAUCGGUGAUAAUGAGCGCGGCGAUGAGCAAUCGCUAAUCGCGAGUGCAAAACCUGAGUAGCAGCAGCAACAACAGCAACAUCAACAAACGCAGCAGGCGAAUCCAGCACACACCGCACCGCCCCGCCCCGCUUACAUACACACAGAGAAGCGGCGAUGGAGGCGUUGGAAGUGGAGGACACCAGCGAUGACAGCCUGCCCAUGGGAUUCCCAGAAGUGGGCACCUGGAACAGCACCCAUAAUGUCUCCUUGAACGACAUGAAUCUGGAUGCGCGCAUGUGAAUCAACCGACGACUGGCUUUAUCUCCACAUUUAUUGGUUCAAUGGUCAAAGGGAGCAGCGGAAAGCUUAUCAAUCAGCGGGAUUUGGUCAUUGACACACACAUACUCCGCCUCCUUGUCACUCCGCCGCCCCGGUGAAGAUAAGACUACUGGUUUCUAGGCUGAUCUAGAGUUCAAAUCGGAAUUUAGAUGUCCCAUAACUUACUUUUAUAAUCGUCUAUAUUUUUAAUUCAACAAUAUUCCAUUUUAAGAUAGUCGACAUCAAUUGUUAUUUAUAAAUCCCGUCUGAAAAAAACAGUAAUUCGAUGAAGU